GCGUGGACCUGGUUCCUGGGGGCGAUCGCCAGUCACCCAUCAACAUUCGGUGGAGGGACAGUGUUUAUGAUCCCGGCUUAAAACCACUGACCAUCUCUUAUGACCCAGCCACCUGCCUCCACGUCUGGAAUAAUGGGUACUCUUUCCUCGUGGAAUUUGAAGAUUCUACAGAUAAAUCAGAGUGUGCCCCCUUCUCAACUGGAAGUCCAUAAUAUUACCUUGUUUAUACGGAUUCCAGAAAUCUUCAAAACAACAAGCUAAAUUCCUGUGUUCUGGAUGACUGUCUGGCACUCUGUGACUGCCUCUUAUUUCCUGUUUAUUCUUUGCUGCUAUUUCUCCAUGUUGUUGCAAAACAAUCAAUAGCAUGCAAAGAGGAAAAAAAGAGUGAAUGAACAUAAAAAAUAAAAAGUGAAAGAAAGCAAGACAUUUUAGAAACAAAGGCAAGAAACAAUUCUAGAAAAGUAAAAACCUAAUAAAUAUCGAUGUCUAUAAAUUUCAAAGACAAAACCCUAAGAAA
rnacentral:lncRNA from 1 species